rnacentral:rRNA from 1 species
UGAGAAAUGGCUACCACAUCUAAGGAAGGCAGCAGGCGCGUAAAUUACCCAAUCCUAAUUCAGGGAGGUAGUGACAAGAAAUAACAACUCGGACCUCACCCGAGGUUACGGGAUUGCAAUGAGAACAAUUUAAACCACUUAUCGAGCAACAAUUGGAGGGCAAGUCUGGUGCCAGCAGCCGCGGUAAUUCCAGCUCCAAUAGCGUAUAUUAAAGUUGUUGCAGUUAAAAAGCUCGUAGUUGAAUUUCUGGCCAGCGCUGUUCUUGGCUCUCUGAGUCGGCUCAGUGUUUGGUCAUCCGUAUGGGAAGCUAGCUCGGCCUUCACUGGUCGGCUAGUGGAUCAUACACUUUACUUUGAAAAAAUUAGAGUGUUUCAGGCAGGCAAUUGCUUGGAUACUUCAGCAUGGAAUAAUGGAAUAGGACUUUGACCUAUUUGUUGGUUUCUUCGAGGUCAAGGUAAUGAUUAAUAGGGACAGUUGGGGGCAUUCAUAUUUAAUUGUCAGAGGUGAAAUUCUUGGAUUUAUUAAAGAUGAACUUAUGCGAAAGCAUUUGCCAAGGAUGUUUUCA